rnacentral:ncRNA from 1 species
CAGGCUCUCAGUUCUAGCCCUCCCCUCGGAGCUAGAAUUUAAGGCGUCGUGUUCGCACGGCGCCUUUUUUU